GAGGUGAGAGAUUUAUCGCCCAAAGAGGGGCUCGCGUCUGAUUAGCUAGUUGGUGAGGUAAGAGCUUACCAAGGCGACGAUCAGUAGCUGGUCUGAGAGGAUGAGCAGCCACACUGGGAUUGAGACACGGCCCAGACUCCUACGGGAGGCAGCAGUGGGGAAUUUUCCGCAAUGGGCGAAAGCCUGACGGAGCAAGACCGCGUGAGGGAGGAAGGCCCUUGGGUUGUAAACCUCUUUUCUCAGGGAAGAAGAAAGUGACGGUACCUGAGGAAUCAGCCUCGGCUAACUCCGUGCCAGCAGCCGCGGUAAUACGGAGGAGGCAAGCGUUAUCCGGAAUUAUUGGGCGUAAAGCGUCCGCAGGUGGUUGUUCAAGUCUGCGGUUAAAGACCGGAGCUCAACUCCGGAGGUGCCGUGGAAACUGAAGAACUAGAGACCGGUAGGGGUAGAGGGAAUUCCCAGUGUAGCGGUGAAAUGCGUAGAGAUUGGGAAGAACACCAGUGGCGAAAGCGCUCUUCUGGGCCGGUACUGACACUCAGGGACGAAAGCUAGGGGAGCGAAAGGGAUUAGAUACCCCUGUAGUCCUAGCCGUA
rnacentral:rRNA from 1 species